rnacentral:lncRNA from 1 species
AAACUCUUCAGAACAGGUUCAUGUAUGACCUGACACCGGAAUAAGGGUUCAACAACAGGUUCAUACAUGACCUAAAUGGUAUUGAACAAACAGAGAAAAAUCUUCAGAGCAGGUUCAAGUAUGACCUGACCCCGGAAUAAAAAGGUUCAACAACAGGUUCAUACAUGACCUGAAUAGGAUUGAACAAAGAAUCUUCAGAGCAGGUUCAAGUAUGACCGGACCCCGGAAUAAAAAGGUUCAAC